rnacentral:tRNA from 1 species
GCUUCUUUAGCUCAGUUGGUACGAGCGUCCGACUGAAGAAUUCAGUUUCUGUAGUCGCCACUGUUUGCAGUGGAUACGGUUUAUCGGGAGGUCACCUGUUCGACCCAGGUAAGGAGCA